ensembl:lncRNA
ACACUGAUGGUGGCAAUGGGGCAGGGAUGGUGACAAUGGGGACAGGGAUGGUGGCAAUGGGGCAGUGAUGGCGCCAUGGGGACGGUGCUAUGGGGACAGUGACACAGGGAUGGUGACAAUGGGACAGGGAUGGUGGCAAUGGGGCCGGGAUGGUGACAAUGGGGACAGGAUGGCGCCAUGGGGACGGUGCUAUGGGGACAGUGACACAGGGAUGGUGACAAUGGGGACAGGGAUGGUGGCAAUGGGGCCGCGGCGCCCCGGUGCGGGUGACACAGCGCCCGGUGACGGGGACAGGAUGGGGCCCCCCACCCCCCACCCCCCCCCCCCCCCGCCCCACACUUCCUGCCCCACUGCAGCGCCGCGGUUUCCUGCCGGGGGGGGGGGGGGUGGGGACGGGGACGGUCCCAAAGGCGGCGG